rnacentral:rRNA from 1 species
ACAUGCAAGUCGAGGGGCAGCAUAGAAGUAGCAAUACGUUGGUGGCGACCGGCGCAACGGGUGAGUAACGCGUAGUGCAACCUACCUAGUCAGAGGGGAAUAACCCGGCGAAAGUCGGACUAAUACCGCAUAAAACAGGGGCACGCAUGGUGAUAUUGUUAAACGAAUUCGCUGAUAGAUGGGCAUGCGUUCCAUUAGGGUAGUUGGUGACGGUAACGGCUCACCAAGCCGACGAUGGAUAGGGGAACUGAGAGGUUGGUCCCCCACACUGGUACUGAGACACGGACCAGACUCCUACGGGAGGCAGCAGUGAGGAAUAUUGGUCAAUGGGCGGGAGCCUGAACCAGCCAAGUCGCGUGAAGGAAAAGAAGGAUCUAUGGUUCGUAAACUUCUUUUGCAGGGGAAUAAAGUGCAGGACGUGUCCUGUUUUGUAUGUACCCUGAGAAUAAGGAUCGGCUAACUCCGUGCCAGCAGCAGC